GACGAACGCUGGCGGCGUGCCUAAUACAUGCAAGUAGAACGCUGAAGGAGGAGCUUGCUUCUCUGGAUGAGUUGCGAACGGGUGAGUAACGCGUAGGUAACCUGCCUGGUAGCGGGGGAUAACUAUUGGAAACGAUAGCUAAUACCGCAUAAUAGCAGUUAUUGCAUGAUAACUGUUUGAAAGGUGCAAUUGCACCACUACCAGAUGGACCUGCGUUGUAUUAGCUAGUUGGUGGGGUAACGGCUCACCAAGGCGACGAUACAUAGCCGACCUGAGAGGGUGAUCGGCCACACUGGGACUGAGACACGGCCCAGACUCCUACGGGAGGCAGCAGUAGGGAAUCUUCGGCAAUGGACGGAAGUCUGACCGAGCAACGCCGCGUGAGUGAAGAAGGUUUUCGGAUCGUAAAGCUCUGUUGUAAGAGAAGAACGAGUGUGAGAGUGGAAAGCUCACACUGUGACGGUAUCUUACCAGAAAGGGACGGCUAACUACGUG
rnacentral:rRNA from 1 species